rnacentral:rRNA from 1 species
GACGAACGCUGGCGGCGUGCUUAACACAUGCAAGUCGAACGGAAAGGCCAUGCUUUUGUGCGGUGCUCGAGUGGCGAACGGGGGAGUAACACGUGAGUAACCUGCCCUUGACUUUGGGAGAACUUCAGGGAACUGGGGCGAAUAUCGGAGAGGAUAUCUUGCGGCACGUGGGUGGUUGGAAAGUUUCGGCGGUUGGGGAUGGACUCGCGGCUUAUCAGCUAGUUGGUGGGGUAGGGGCUUACCAAGGCUUUGACGGGUAGCCGGCCUGAGAGGGUGACCGGCCACAUUGGGACUGCGGUACGGCGCAGAAUCCUACGGGAGGCAGCAGUGGGGAAUAUUGCACAAUGGGCGGAAGCCUGAUGCAGCAACGCCGCGUGCGGGAUGACGGCCUUCGGGUUGUAAACCGCUUUCGACGGUGACGAAGCGUGAGUGACGGUAAUGGGUAAAGAAGCACCGGCUAACUACGUG